rfam:Picea glauca, whole genome shotgun sequence.
AUGUAAUGUAAUUCCUAAAAUGUUAAUGCAUCAGAUCCCAUUGGAACUUUGCAGUUAAGUGCGCUUGGUCUAGAGUAGUACCGGGAUGGGUGACCUCCCAGGAACUUCGAGUAUGUUACAUG